rnacentral:rRNA from 1 species
CACGUAGGGUGCGAGCGUUGUCCGGAAUUAUUGGGCGUAAAGAGCUCGUAGGCGGUUUGUCGCGUCGGCUGUGAAAACUCGGGGCUCAACCCCGAGCCUGCAGUCGAUACGGGCAGACUAGAGUGCUGUAGGGGAGACUGGAAUUCCUGGUGUAGCGGUGAAAUGCGCAGAUAUCAGGAGGAACACCGGUGGCGAAGGCGGGUCUCUGGGCAGUAACUGACGCUGAGGAGCGAAAGCGUGGGGAGCGAACAGG